UACGUAGGGUGCGAGCGUUGUCCGGAAUUAUUGGGCGUAAAGAGCUCGUAGGCGGCUUGUCACGUCGGAUGUGAAAACCCGGGGCUCAACCCCGGGCCUGCAUUCGAUACGGGCAGGCUAGAGUUCGGCAGGGGAGACUGGAAUUCCUGGUGUAGCGGUGAAAUGCGCAGAUAUCAGGAGGAACACCGGUGGCGAAGGCGGCUCUCUGGACGGAUACUGACGCUGAGGCGCGAAAGCGUGGGGAUCAAACAGG
rnacentral:rRNA from 1 species